GCUUGUCUCAAAGAUUAAGCCAUGCACGUCUAAGUAUAAGCAUUAUACAGCGAAACAGCGAAUGGCUCAUUACAUUAGUUUUAACAUACACGAUGAUCGAUUCUACUUGGAUAACCGUAGUAAUUCUAGAGCUAAUACAUGCGUAAAUACCCAACUGCUUGUCGGACGGGUAGCAUUUAUUAGAUUGAAACCAAUGCAGCUUCGGCUGGUAUUGUGUUGAGUCAUAAUAACUGUGCGGAUCGCUUUUUAAGCGAUAAAUCGAUUGAGUUUCUGCCCUAUCAGCUUUGGAUGGUAGGAUAUGGGCCUACCAUGGCGUUAACGGGUAACGGGGAAUUAGGGUUUGAUUCCGGAGAGGGAGCCUUAGAAACGGCUACCACAUCCAAGGAAGGCAGCAGG
rnacentral:rRNA from 1 species